AAUUUGACAACAUACAUUGAUGGUUUGUUGUCUUUUAAAAGUGAUUAAAUGAUUUAACAUUUUGUUCAAUUUUGGUGUUUCACGUGCUUUUCACCUAACCGACAAAUGAGACCAUUGAAGUACAAAGCUACCGUUUUUCCUAAACUUGGUUUCUUCACUAUGCAACAUUAUCUAGUUAAUAUUUAACUGAGUGAAAGCACCUGAAAGUUUAUGUAUUUUAACUAUCUCUGAAACAAGAAUGUAUCUGGAAUGGUGCAGUCCUUUCUAGAUUGAUUUGCUUUUCCUAUUUGCAGUGUUGAACGCUACAUUCUACAGUUGAUUAAGAUCAACAGUGGAGAGGA